rnacentral:ribozyme from 1 species
AAAAGAAAGAGCAAAAGGGGAGAAAUCUUCUGUCUUCUUCUGCAUCACAGUGUCUAUUCUUCUUAUCAUUAUUUUUCAUUUUCUUCAUUUCGGAGCAAUGCCACCUGCAGUCAAGUAGACAAAGGCAGAGCAGCAGCACACAAAA